AUCAAGAUAUGCAAAAUACACAUGGAUCUGAACAUUUCUGAUUCGUUAACAAAACCACUCCCGCAGGCUAAGCAUGAUGUGCAUGUAAGAGCUAUGGGUAUGAGGUACCUUCUAGAUUGACUCUAGUGCAAGUGGGAGACUGUUGGAGGUAUGCCCUAGAGGCAAUCAUAGAGAUGAUGAUAUUCCAUUUGUAUCCAUGAUUUGUAUAUUGUGUUCAUUGAAUAUCCAUUAAAGGCUACUUGAAUUGAUUUGCAAUUAUGUGUAUGUGAAACUCUUUACUGGUAUGGUUAUUCUAAAGUUGUCCCUAGUCGGAGUUCAUGUGAGGACACACAUGAAUAUUAGACUAGCACAUGUAUUAGUUGAUGACUAUGUUUCACAAGUCAUGGACAUGGAGAUGUUGAACUAAUAAUGUGGACACAUAUGGAGACAUGUGCUAGGACUGACCCAACACGAGAAGUAGUUCUCUCUUUAAACAACAUAUACGCUUUGUCCUUAGACCUGAGAUUGUCG
rnacentral:lncRNA from 1 species